UCGCUACGGACAUCGACGAGAGGGAUGGCGGCUAUAUCAAUAUUUUGGUAUCAAUCGAGCCGGAGGUCCCACCGGACGAAAACAUUAUCCGCAACCUAAAGGCCCUCCUGGAAUCAUCAUCACGGUUCCUACACAGAGCAACAAACGGUCGAGUAUACUUCAAGUCAUUCGUCAUCGAGGUACCAAAAUAUUGGCCGAAAAGAAAAGUGGAUCGUCACCUAGGGGCAACGCAGUUCCUAAACAGCGAUGUGCGAAUCGUGAGUUCCAAGAGUUGCGGAUUCCAGGAGCCUUGCACGGUGACGUCACAAGGCUGCCAAGGAAAGGGAGAUUACGUAUUCAUUCCAGCGCAAUAUCUCCAACACCUGGGGCCCUUAACGGCGGAAACAAAUGAAAGUGCUGCGUAUACCUUCGUGCACGAGUGGGCGCACCUAAGGUAUGGUGUUUUCGACGAAUACGGUACCAGGGGAGACGAUUCCUUUCCAGAGACCUACUGCGUCGAUGGCGAGGUGAGCAGCAGGAUUUCAGCUUGUUUGUGGGCAAGGCUAGACGCAUGGGCAUGUUGGUAACUUAUUAUGAAAACACGCCCAGUGCAGAAGACGGAGACAAAGACACCCACGGCAGUGUUUUAAACCUUUGUUUGUGGAGUUGCAAGCCACCAGAUGUCUCUCAGGUUCCGAAUAAUAUUAGAAUAAAGCUCUAAAUUAUCUUUGACAUUGCGCGCUUUUCAAUCCGUUAUGUGGUUCUACAAAUUUUGGAAAAAAGCUUGAAUGCAAAAUAUUUUUUUUUUUUUGCUUUGAGAAACCCAAGUAAGGUCAAAGCAAGGUCACGCUCAAGGACGCCAUCACGUUUCAAUAGUGUUUUGUCUGCGAAAAAUGUGGGCAGAUCUCCGAGAUAUUGCAGUGUAAACCAUGUAUGUACAUUGCGAAUUAAGGCGACUCGAUAGGCUUGAACCGGUCAUAGGCCGGAUAUCAUGCGAAUUAGGGCGGCCCUUUGGUUAGUACUAGAAAUUCGUUAAAGAACACCAGAUAUUGUCCGAAUUUAAGCAGGUUUCUAGCCUGGUACCGGAUACAGUACAAAGAAACGCCGUACAUA